UGAAUCAUAUUAAGGGCUUCCUUUCGCUGCCUUUGGUGGAGUUUGUUGUCUGGGGCUGCAGUUUCCAGCUAGCUUCGCCUUGCAUUUAGUGAACAAUGUAGAUGGGGCCCAUGUCACACUAAGGUAAGAGGAAAUGGGGAAAGUGCUAAGCGUGGCUGCCCCUUUAAAUUCCAGCGGUGUGGCUAAGAAGCAGCUCCUCUCUCUUUGCAAAGCGCUGGGCUGGGGCUGCUGCUGCUGGUGUGAGCCUGUCCUUCCACUUCCGAGCUCUGGCAGCCAGGAGAAGAUCUGAUCGCCCCGCCGGGUCCCUUUGGGAGGGAGGAAGGAAGGAAGGAAGGAAGGAGGGAAGGAAGGAAGGAGGCAGGCAGCCAGGGGAAGAGAAAAGGAGCAAAGCUAAGCAGCAGCAGCCGCCUCCUGCCUCCUCCAGACAGAGCCAGCCGGCGGGGACCGCUUGGGCUCUGCUCCUCUCCUUGCGAUCCGGAGGAGGAGGGAAAGGGGUUUGGUUCCGCAGCAUCCUGAGGACCAUUUCCAUAGUAACCUGCUCCAAGGGGGAUGGGGUGGGUCUCCCCGACCUUUCCAGGAUGGCAUUUGACAGAAUUCACAAAGGGCCCACUCCCAACAUGCAUUUCUAUUGCUGAAACCACACUGGAAUGAAUGGCGGGUGGAAAAGAACAUGGUAAGAUUUACCAAAAGGAUGUAACAUUCAAAAAUGGAAACUUGUAUAGAAAGGAACAGAUAGCAGUUGGCGCUCAACGAUUGACUGAUCAUUUCUCUUUGGAUGUAUUGGCUUUUAAGAACGAUAUGUUGAUUCAGAAAGUCCCAAGUGAGCAACAUGAAAUUUGUUUCAUCUACACAGUCCAUGGAAUUUUAAUUUAUUCCUUGGGGUCAGUGAAUUUUCGCAAAGGUGUGUGAUGGAAAUAGCAGCCUGUCUCUGUGUCAGUCGACAGUACCUUGUGGAUUAGUUUGCUGUUGUGGAGUACUCAUUCCAUUUUGAAAGACAAGGAACAGAUGUGAUGGAUUUACCUUCAGAAAUGAACAGGCAUGGGAGAAAUCCACUCAGCCACAAGCUAGAAGAUCAAAAGAAGGUAAAAAAACCCACUUUUAAAUUAGUUUAUUUUAUAAAAUAUGCAACAUUUUACAAACUGUGGUCUAAAUAUGCCUGCAGGUAUGUGAUUAUUGCUCCAUUGUAGUCUGUUUCUGUGCAGCUAAUUUCCAUUGCUACCUGAUAAUCCGAGUCUUAGAAUUAUCUAGCAAAUUGGAUGUCAAAACAUUCAGUUUCCUGAUGUUUCUGUAUCUGUGCCAAAAAUCUCUUGUAGUAAGCAAUACUGCUAACUUUGUGCUGACCUUGUUGGCGUACUUCAUUCCUUGCUAUCAAAAUGACAUUUGAACUUCCCACAACAUUUGAUAGUAACUAUGUAAAAGUGCUUUACUGUGUAAUUAUUAUUAACAUUAUAUGUGAAAUGGAUUGAAAUGAUGAAAUGUUGUUGAAUUAAUGUAUUGAAAACUCUAUUUUAUCAGAAGGAAUGGACUACUUUGGCUUACUGGACAUGCUGUCUACUCAUUUAUUUAGUACCGAAAUAAGAUCUGAAAAUGCUUGAAACAAAUACAUAAAUCUAAUUGAGGUUUAACUUUCAUGCUGAUUAAGGAAUUUAUUAGAUAAAUAAGGAAGAUUGCUUCCUGUGCUUUCAGUGCAACACUGUCUCUCAGAAGUAUGGGGACUGAGGUUGUCUUUUGCAGACAUGUCACUUAUAUCUCCUUCAAAACAAUAAGUAUUUGCUCAUCCUGAACUUGUGUCUGUAUAUAUAAUUAUGUAUAUGAAUUUGAUUAUUUGCCAACUGCUGCAUUUAGUUUUCCAAUUUCAUUGCAGUCAGGCUCUGGAUUGUCAUAAAUAUUGUCAUUACACCUCUACUUCAGCUCAGUUCCUCAGAAAUUAGCUCCGAAUUUUGAGACAUUUCUGAGCUGCUCCAAAUGGUCCCGGAAUCUUAGAUCUCUUUCACAGUAUACAGUUAUAGCACAAUGAUUCCACUUUCAUGGCAAUGAUGGCAUCCUUUGGGAUAUUGGAGUUUGCAGUUUGGUGAGUCAUUAGAAAUCUAGCAGAGAGCUUGUCUCCCCAAGCUACAAAUCACAGUAUAUGUUAUGUUGGGGGAAGAGAUGCAUAGCACCAUAACUGGGGAAUGUGAAGGACACUUAAUAAUCAGUCAUUGGUGGUUCUUGCGUCAUUGGUUCUAGUAUUCCAGAAGAAAAAUAGUUGCAAUUUCCACUGUGGAGAGUCUUUUUGGCAGUCAAUUGAAGAUCCUUUUUGACAAGAAUGAAACUGAAACUAAGUGGCUAGUUUCACUUCACAAGAUGAACUCUGGUAAAAUGUUGUUAAGUCUCUUAACUGUCUUGUAUUACAAGGAAAGCUGUAUGGUUUGAUAUCACAUUCAGAGACUGAGAGAGAAAAACAGCAUAUGGAUCAAUGGCAUUAAUCAAGAAGGAUCCUGUACUGGUUUAUGGGUGUUGCAUCUUUUGAAAAUUGAGCGAGAACUUUGAUCACUUUGGUACACAAAUUUAACUUUUGCCAAAGUUCUCUUUGCUUUUCCAAAAAACCCCGAAAAUCAUUGAAACAAUGAAGGUGCUAGAAAGCUUGUGUGAGGGUGCUUAGAUAUAUUUCUUCAUCGUGGAUGAACAAUAUCAGGUUGUUUAUAAAUGAAUGCUCUUGGUAGAUUUGACAUUUGAUUGACCUAGGACUGCAGAUAUUUAUGCAGAUAUAUAGCUAAACCUUUGAUGUAACCAGCUACUGUGAUUUGGAUUUGAAUUGUGAUUACAAAAGAAUGGGUGCCUUUGUUGAUGCUUUGGCUUUGCGAGCUGUGGUUGUGGGAUGCAGCUUAAUGGUAUGAAGGUUCUCGGUUUUGAUUUCUAGAUAAAUUGUAUGAUAUAAAAAGCAAUUCUUGUAUUCCUAGUUUAUGGUGAAAAAAAAUAUACAAAAAAAUUGUCACUGAAAACAAUUCUUAAAGUCUUCAAUUCAGUUAGGUUGUUCUUUUUCAGACAGCUUCUACAAUUAAGUUAUUUUUAAGAGAAUCUCAGGUAAUGUCAUUUGUGUGAAAGAAACUACUCAGAUAGUUCAUUAUUGCUGAAAGGUAGCCUUGGGCUGACAAAGGCGAGUAUUUGAAUGACUGAUGCAGCUGUGGCCUUGUCAUUUCACAAGAUGGAUAUUUUGUGUUUCUAUAAACAUUCCACAAAGCACUUCUGUACAACAUGUGAACAUAUUUCUUUCUUAUAAUGGAUGGAGAUGGUGGCGGUGUUUAGAUUAUUGUUUUUACUAAAGUUGAUACACAUUUAUGUGUUGGUGGCAGAAAAUAUUUGGGAGUGUAAGAAAGAGAGCCAUAUUUUACAACUCCACAUAACAUGACCUUUUGUAUGCUAGUAGACUAGCUUUGGAGAAAGUGGAGGUUGUUGCUGGGACAUAUAUAAUUCUUUCUCAAAAUGACUGAUACGAAACAUGUGUUUCUAGUGUUUGUUUCUAGUGACUAACUGCUUUCUGUUUUAUCUAAUUGCAUUCAUAUUAAAUUAUACAGCCUCACAGUAUAAAAAAUAAUAAAAAUGUUAUUUCAUCAGGUGUCUACUAUUAAAGAUUGAAUAGCCCAUAUACAAAAUGCAUACAAAACCAGUAUUCUGAAUUUUGAAAUUCCUGUGUGUGCAUUUUUGAGAAAAAUGACACAUCUUGGCAAGAAACCCCAAGUCUAAACACCAAAUUAAUUUAUGUGUCAUAUAAAUAGCCUGAGGUAAUUUUAUAAAUAUUUUAAAAAAUAAUUUAUGC
rnacentral:lncRNA from 11 species